GAUGCACCUCGUUAGGCGAGGCUCCUGGAUGAACACAGGCCACUGAUCUGACGACGUCGAGAGACGCCCAAGAUCAGGACAGAUCUCCCCGGCUUAAGGGGUGAUCCCAAGUGGCUUCCCGGCUGUACGGGGAUACGUCGCCCAGUGCCGAAGCUCAACGUGUGAGGGCACCG
rnacentral:sRNA from 2 species